AGCGGUAUUUCUUCUUCGGGAGAGAGAGAGCGGCGUACGGGUGCGGAACACGUGUGCAACCUGCCUUUAUCUAGAGGAUAGCCUUUCGAAAGGAAGAUUAAUACUCUAUAAUAUAUUAAUUGGCAUCAAUUGAUAUUGAAAACUCCGGUGGAUAGAGAUGGGCACGCGCAAGAUUAGCUAGUUGGUGAGGUAACGGCUCACCAAGGCAAUGAUCUUUAGGGGGCCUGAGAGGGUGAUCCCCCACACUGGUACUGAGACACGGACCAGACUCCUACGGGAGGCAGCAGUGAGGAAUAUUGGUCAAUGGGUGCAAGCCUGAACCAGCCAUCCCGCGUGAAGGAUUAAGGUCCUAUGGAUUGUAAACUUCUUUUGUAUAGGGAUAAACCUACCCUCGUGAGGGUAGCUGAAGGUACUAUACGAAUAAGCACCGGCUAACUCCGUGCCAGCAGCCGCGGUAAUACGGAGGGUGCAAGCGUUAUCCGGAUUUAUUGGGUUUAAAGGGUCCGUAGGCGGACUUAUAAGUCAGUGGUGAAGCCUGUCGCUUAACGAUAGAACUGCCAUUGAUACUGUAAGUCUUGAGUAUAUUUGAGGUAGCUGGAAUAAGUAGUGUAGCGGUGAA
rnacentral:rRNA from 1 species